GGGCCAAUGGUCUAGUGGUAUGACAUCUGCUUGACGUGCAGAAGGUCGGGAGUUCAAUCCUCCCUUGGCCCACCA
rnacentral:tRNA from 2 species